rnacentral:rRNA from 1 species
CGCCGGCGACCGGCGCACGGGUGAGUAACACGUAUGCAACCUGGCCGUGACAGAUGGAUAACCGGGAGAAAUCCCGCCUAAUACAACAUAAUGCCGGGAGGGGACAUCCCCUGCCGGCCAAAGGGGCGACCCGGUCACGGAUGGGCAUGCGGCGCAUUAGGUAGUUGGUGGGGCAACGGCCCACCAAGCCGACGAUGCGUAGGGGUUCUGAGAGGAAGGUCCCCCACAUUGGAACUGAGACACGGUCCAAACUCCUACGGAAGGCAGCAG